AUGCUUCUGAUUUCAUUCCCCAAGACCAUGCUUGCCCAAGACACAAAAGACGCUGAAGAUUUGACCAAAGUCAUCAAAAAGCUUGACAGAAUUUCUGCAGAGAUGAGUAGCUUGUGUUUCUUGUGUGGGCAAGAUGCUACACAAGGAUUCGUGCCUGAUCAAGCUCCUGAUUGGAGGGUGACCACUGCGUCCGACACACAACCAAAUCUGGUUGGUCAGCAGAAAGAAGCAGAUGAACUCAUGGCUUUUUUACUCAAACCUGAACAAGGUAAUGAGAAAGUCUCAUGUAUUUUUGUUGUCGGAAUGGGUGGUGUUGGGAAGACAGCUCUCGCCCGGGAAGCUUACAACGAUAGCAGAACAGACUGCUUUGGAGUGAAGGUCUGGAUCUGUGUAUCACAUAGAGCCAGCAUCACAAGGGUCUUGAUUGACGCAACCAAUGCUGCUUCCAAAAAAUUACUGCUUUAUCGCCAUCCUGCGCCCGACAAGGGCACUAUCAAGAGUAUGCUGGCAGAUGUUUUGAAAGAUAAGAGAUUUCUCAUAGUCCUGGAUGACAUAUGGGAUUGGGAUUUAUCAAGAAACAUACUGGACGCAUUCAAUAUGCCAUUUAGUCAAGCACGUGAAGGAAGUAAAGUCAUAGUCACUACUCGAGACCCAAGCAUAGGAGAAGGAAUGAGUACAGUAGGGCCAAUUCCUGUUCACGGCUUACAGUCUGAACAUUAUUGGCAACUGUUCAAGGAACUUGCAUUUCAUAACAAAGACCCAGAAGAGUAUCCAGAACUCUUACCCAUAGGCGAAAACACAGCCGAAAGGCUAAAUGGCUUGCCCCAGGCAGCAGAGACAUUUUGUCAGGCGUUACGGUCAGACUUCAAUGCUAACCACUGGAGGGGUAUUUCGAAAAGGAAAAUGUAUCAAAUGGGAGCAGAGAAGGGUGGCCUCAUGGCCACACUGAGAUUAAGUCAUGAACAGCUGCCAAGAGACCUCAAGGAAUGUUUCGUUUCUUGUUCUCUCUUCCCAAAAGGGCAUGCCUUUCGAAAAGAAGAAAUUAUCCGUGUAUGGAUGGCUCUCGGAUAUCUUGAUGGCCCUGGAGCUGGAGUGCAAAGAAUGGAAGAUACAUGA
rnacentral:rRNA from 1 species